GACUUUUUUGGUCAUCAGAUGAACGAUUCACGUCCCAGUUUGGAAAAGGAGAGCUUGGAGUCAAAUUCAAGCCAUUUUCAAAGUAUCCUCCUUGUUACAAGGACAUCAGUUUCUGGAUAAGUGAGUCAUUCACGGAGAAUAACUUUUGCGAAGUUGUUAGAGGGGAUUGCUGGGGAUCUUGCUGAAGAGGUGAAGUUAAUUGACAAUUUCACAAAUAAGAAAGGGAUGACGAGUCAUUGUUACAGAAUCGUGUUCCGUUCCAUGGAGCGUUCUCUUACGGACGAAGAGGUCAAUGCAUUGCAUUGCAGAGUAAAGUGCGUGAUGAGGUGGAGAGGAAGCUAAAUGUCGAAUUGAGGUGAGAAUUUUGAAAAGUAGAGUUGAUUUGCAUUUCAGGUUUGACAUUGUUAUUCCUACACAAAAAUUUAUUUACUUCUGGCCGAAUUGCAUGACCCUCAAAUAAAAAUAUAUGUACAUUGGUUUUCGUUAUUAAUGGAAAGAAAAAUAAGGUGUUUCUAUG